rnacentral:sRNA from 2 species
AAUACACAAAUAAAUCUGUUGGGCUCCUCAAAUUGAUGGUGAUUUGGAGAAAAUAAAGAUAAAUACUUUUAUUCUGUUCAAGUUGGCAUCCCUAUUGCUCGCUCGAAGGCCACAUGGCCCACACCUAUUUAAGCAGUCCACGGUGCUGCGCCCUCUGGAUAGUUACAAACACUCCUAAUAGAUGAAUUUCAUUGAUAAAUUGGAACAUCUGGUGGGGUUGCUAGCACAGAGGUGCAAGUACAAAUUCAUAGUGAUUGAGUUCAGGGCUGAUCUGCGUUAGGUUAAAGUUAAAGAAAAGUUGUCCUAAUAACUCAAUUGGAAGAUCAGAUC